CAGGAUCCCAGCAGAGCAGGGAGCCCGAUGUGGGGCUCCAUCCCAGGACCCUGGGAUCACACCCUGAGCCGAAGGUGGACCUUAACGACUGAGCCACCCAGGCGCCCCAAUUCUUGUCUUUGUUGACGAUGUUCAUCACGUGGCAGGCAUAGUGGUGAGGGCUUUAUGUACAUUGUCUUAUCUGUCUGCUCAGCUUCCCACUGAGGUAGGUACUGUUAUUAGCCCCACUUUACAGAUGAAGGAAAUCAAAGCACAGAGAGAUGAAGUAACUUGCCCAAGUCUUCAGAGCAGACCAGUACUACAGACGGGAUCCAGCCUUCGCUUCAAGCAAUUAUGCUGCUUUCCUAGUAGCCGCUUGGUUACAGAUUAUAUGAAAAUUGGCCAUACCCAUCAAACCAAAUCCCAUCACAGCAACAAAACGAUACCAUCAUUUUUAUGUGACUCAUAUGCAAAACAAAAUUCACUCAACUGUGUGGUCCACUGA
ensembl:lncRNA